CUGUUUAGGACACCAAACAAGACAUGAACAUCUUCUCUGGUACUGUAGAAACUUUUCAAAACCAUCAUGUUGCUUUUGUCCUGCUUCACCUUCCCGUAGGGAGAGAUUCAUCCAGCCCGAUAGAGAUAGGGUAUACAGAACAUCUCUAGCUAGCACUGUCCACCUCUAUUCUGACAAUUUCUCCUCUUCGAACUAAACAUUGAAGGCUGGCUAUGUGCACAACCUCUGUCCAGUUUCCAUGGCUUAGGAUUACUUCACUGGAUCACUCCAUAAAUAACUAGAGUCCUACUAUGUGCACAUACUGUCGUAGGUGCUGGUGAAAGGGCAGUGGACAAAACAAGCUUAUGUAAAAUAAGUAAACCUACACUUGUACAAUGUAGAUUAUAAUAUUAAGCUUCUAGUAAGGGAGACAGGAGGUUAACGAGGCAGUUAUUUUACCUACAGGGCCAGGGAAAGACUUGCAGACUGAGAAGGUGAUAUUUGAGCUGGUGGGAUUCAGGAAGUGAGUUCUUUGGUUAUCUGGAAGAACAUUCCCAGAAGAGUAGUCAGAGAGGGCCUUUUAAGCCAUUCUAAGGCUUUUGUUUUUUAUUCCAUGUGAGAGGGAUUGCCCUUCUAGGGUUCUGAGCAGAAUGAAGUUCUAGAAACCAAGUGAACCAAAUAUUUUAAGAAGAGAGUGAGCAAGUGUGUCCGGUGUUGGACAGGGUGAAUGGGACGAGGCUGAGAACAGACGUUUGUAUGUAGCACCAUGGGGAGGGGUCAGUGGUGAUUUCCACAGGAACUAUUCCAAUGAAGUGAUGAGGGUGAGAGCUGUUUGAAAUGGAUUCUGGAAGGAGUGGGAGGGGCUGGACAGGAGGCAGACUACAACUCUUUGAGGAGUUGGAGUUUUACUCUUAAAAGGAAGAGAAAUGGAACGGUAGCAGGAGGAGGAUGUGGGACCAGGAACAUUUUCAAAAAUUUUUUAAUGGAAGGAGUUAUUACAGCACAUUUGUGUGCUGGGAAUGAUCCAGUAGAGAGCAACAACUCAAUGAUGCAGGAGUAGGUAGACGAUUGCUGGAGCAAAGUCUUGGAGUAGGGUGAGAAGGGAUGGGCUCCAGAGCGCCAGUGGAGGGACAUGAGCAUUCACGUGACUACAGGAGGGAGGCUGCGGUGUGGGCUCAGGGACCUCCAUGGUCGGGAGCACAGACGUCCACUUGGUAUGGCUCAGCUGGCCUUCGCGGGCAGUUAGCGUAUUUGACAGACUAAGGUGCCAUCUGCCGUACAUCUGGUGAACCGUGUGCACCGGUGCCUCCCUCCCCCCCCCCCCCCCAUAGACACACACCUGUGGGCACUGUUCCCAGGGCUGUCCUUAUCCUCGCCACUUCAUGUUGGUAAAGCAAGCACUAUAUGUAUGUCAGUUUAAAUGCACUAUAUGUAUUGUGCAGUUUAAAAAAACUUGGGCUCAGACCAGUGUAGCCACUAACGUAAGGUCACGUGUUGAUAAACGGUAGGGCAGGGGAUUGAACCCAGACAUUUUGACUGUUUCUGGGUUCUGUGGACCCAGGAAAUAGGGAAGGGGUAUUUACUUACCAAGAUUGAGAUUCAAUGUCUUUUUCCUGCUCUUGUCUCCAGAGGAGCCCACCACGGGGAUGACUGUGUGAAUGCACAAUCCCUUCAGGUACACAAGGGUGCCUUCACCAGGUGGAGGGCAUCUCCAGAUGCAUGCAAUGUACAGAUGGCCUCGUUACCCCAUUUACCUGUGCAGAGGCUUAAAGCACCUGGAACCUGCCUCUCCCACCAUAGUCUUCGAGGGGCUGCAUUUGGACUGCACCCUCCUGCCCGUUCAUCCACCAAACCACCUUUCCGUUAACAUUCCACAGUUUCCUCUUGCUCUUUAGAUCUGGGGAGAAGCAGGGUUUUGUGCUCACUCAAUUGCCCCGAACCAGGGGAUAAUAGAUUUUUCAACCUGGAAGGAAUCAUUCCAGGGAGACCUCUGGUUAAACUUCUUUGUAUUCACCCCAUUUUCUUUAUCCGCUCUGUUGGCAUCUCAGGCACCAGCUAACAUGUACUUCUAGAACCUUCUAUCUUCAACACAAGAAAAUACACACAUCUGCUUUGUUUUCUUUUGGAAGAAGCUCUAAGAAAAAAGAUGUGAGAGUUCAGCUGGCUCCCUGCUCUUCCAAGGGCUGUCACUGCAAUCAUGUGGGGCCACUGGAGGCAGUUGUCUGAACCCCUACAGUGGGCACAAUGGGUUGAGAACAGAAUUGCCUGUGGAUCAGUCCACCACCAGGCACACGUUGUCUUCUGACCAUUUUACUCCAUCUACACCAAGAAGUUCUUACUGGCACCUCUUCAUGUGCUGCUCACUUGGCAUCCAUUGGUGAUCCACAUUUUGGACACAGAACCAUCGCUCUCACCUGGACCCUUUGUGGGGGACUAGGUUCCACGCAAGCACGUUGGAGAGGACGCACUUUUCCUUGCUGCCAUGUUUUACCCUAGCCCCUCAUUACUGUGUUCGGGAAAUUAUUCCUUUUUCCACCCCUAAUUAGGCCUCUGGGUACUUUAUGAUUGCAGGAUUUCCUUCUUUUCUAUGGCUGAAGAGAGCCUAGCUUUUAAAGACUGUGUUUAUCACACAACAUGGCCCUUAAAUGGAAGCCUGCUUCAUCUGAUGUGCAACUGAAGAAUUGAAAUGCCUUUCGGUGCCAGAGGAAACACCAGCUCUAUGCAGGAUUUACUGAGAGAGGGUUUGUAAGCCGCCCGACUGGCACUGCUCCAACGGAUCUUCAAGGGACAUUUGGAUUGUGUGCAAUUCCAGCCCUUACACACUGACUUGAGAACCCUCUGCUCCUUGUUCAGUUUCCUGCUUUUAACAGAGUUAACAGGGGCGCCUGGGUGGCUCAGGUGAUUAAGCGUCUGACUUGUUAUCCACUUAGGUGGUGAUUUCCCAGUCAUGAGACUGGGCUCAUGCUGAGGGUCCGGCCUGCUUGGGAGUCUCUCCCUGACCGCCCCCCCCCCACACUUGUGUGUGCAUGCACAGGUGCUCUCUCAGAAUAAAUAAACAUGUUUUAAAAAGUUAACAGAAUAUCUUGUUUGUUCUACACCAGCACAUAGAAACCUAAUUUAUUGUCUUAAAUAGCUACAGGGUAUUCCAUUGCAGGAAGGCACUAGAAUUUGUUCAAAAUCAGUUCUCUAUUGGAGGAUAUUUCGACUGUGUUCAGACUUUUGCUACUACUAUUAUAAUGCUGCAAGGAGGGAUGUGUCUUUUUAUAAUAAUACCUUUUGGGGAUCUUGAAUGACCAAGUCAUUAUAGGAGAACAAAUAGAAUAUUUUUUGCUAUAUUUUUUGGAAAAUAGGGGCUUUAUUUUCUUUUCUGGCUACUUUUGUAUUGAUACUAUUUUGGUACUAAUUCCUAUGAUUUCAACUUUUCAAAAUUAAGCUUAAAAAUACCAAUUACACCUGAAAAAUAUUCCAGUUAGCAUAAUUUUAAAAUCCACUUAAUGGCAUUUGGAUCCCAAAAGACAAGUUACCAAAUAUCUUUAGUAGUUAGUGUUUAUUCAACAAAUAUUUCUUGAGUGCCUCUGUGUACCAGGGACAAUAUUAAGGGUUUUAAUAGAUUUUAUGCCUCCUAGUAUCAUUGAAAUUCUGCUGGAAUUCAAGACUAAGAACUAUGUAUAAGAUAAUUGCUCAUUUGUUCCAUUAAAUCUAUAACAAGAUAUUUGUAUAGUGGUAAGGUGGACGGGAGGGGAAAAGUAAU